UUGCACACACAAAGUUGCAGCAAACCCCCUUUGCGAAUUUUAUGAUUGUCCCCCUUGGCUGGUCGGGGCACGAGCGAUCGUGUCUUGGCCGGCCAACCCGAGUCCCCGGGGGCUUUGGGGCUCCCUCCCCCGGGAGUGAGUCUCAUCACCCGGGACUUGGUGUUUCCAAACCGAUUGCGCAAUGCAUCAACACUUUCAAUAUGACUGAGUAUAUAAAGAAGAUCGGAGGGGCAUUGGACUCGCGUCCGGUGCCCCCCUCGAGUUGUAAUAAUAAACAAAAACAACUCUCAGCAACGGAUAUCUUGGCUCUUGCAACGAUGAAGAACGCAGCGAAAUGCGAUACGUAGUGUGAAUUGCAGAAUUCCGCGAAUCAUCGAGUCUUUGAACGCAAGUUGCGCCCGAGGCUUGACCAAGGGCAUUUCUGCCAGAGCGUCACCGCGACACCCACCAAUCCGCUCCGAGCGAGUGGACUGAGUGAAAGUGGCCAUCCGAAUGGGGCCACCCUUGGGUGGCAGAUUGGGUUGGCUGAAAUGGAGGGGAAUUUGGCCGCCGUGGUGACACAGCCCGCGAUCAGGUGAUCCAGGCUUUCUUGUCUUGGAACUCAAACGUGCGUCGGUUGUGUCUCCCAGUUGGCACUCGGAUUCCAAAGCAGGUCCCUCUCCUCUCCCCCGUAAGAACGGGGAGAGGAGGAGUGUAACGUCACGCAUCAGACCUCUGAUCAGAAAAGACUACCCGCUGAGUUUAAGCAUAUCACUAAGCGGAGGAGAAGAAAC
rnacentral:sRNA from 1 species